GGAUCGAACCCACAACGUCAUGGUUCCUAGUCGGAUUCAUUUCCACUGCACCACGACAGGAACUCCCUGUUUUUCUAUCUUUAAUGGGGAUAAUAGUACUCACCUCCUGGAGUUGUUGGGAGGAUUAAGAGACAAAGCAUGCUAAGCAUUUAGCACUGUGCUUGGAACCUAUUAAGGAUGCAGUAAAUGGUAACAGCUCUAAUCUUUUAAAGGGGGUUGGACUUGAUAAUGUAAAAGCUUUUCAUAAUGAGCUAAACAUUUAUUUAAUGCUUAACCGCUGCCUUCUGACAACACACAGUUCUGAGUGCUUUACAUGUAUUAUCUCAUUUAAUACUAAAAACAAAUCUCUAUUUCCUUAUUUUGCAGGUAAGGAAUAGAAGCAUAGAAGAGUCUAAAGAUUAAUUGAGGCAGGAUUCACACCUAGGCUGGCUGACUCCUCUGUACUAAUAGUGGUUAUUUGGUAGCAGUAGUCCAAAGUCCCUUUUCAAGCCCUUUCCUUAUUUGACAAACUCUUAUUCAUCCUUCAAAACCCAGCUCAAAUGUCCCUCCUCUGGAAAGCCUUUCCUGGUAUCCCUCUUCUGGACCUCUAGGGACUCUAGCAUACCUUCCUGGCACAGAGGGACAACUUUCCCUCCCACAAAGGGUUGGAGCAGGAGUUUUGUUCUUAGUCCUAUCCUUUCCUAUGCACCAAAUGUUCUGCUUGGGCAUUCAUUCUAGUCUCCUGUGGAGCUCUGCGGGGUCCCAAGGCACCUGACUUUAGUUUCCCCAGAGCUGCUGAGUUAUAUCACUUCACCAGUGCUGAUGCCUCACAUCUUCCUGGUAUCUUGCCAAACCCCAUCCUUGCCUGGUGCCCAUUAAGGGAAAGGAAUUUUUGCCUACUGAGCCUGCAGUGGGCCAAGCUUUGGGCCGAGUGCUUCACACACUUCAGCUCAUUUGAUCCUACACACAACCCUGUGAGAAAGUCUAUCUUUAGAAACCAAUGUCAACCAGUGAGGCAACUGAGAUUGUAAGGGAGGAGUGAACACGUCCAGAUGGUGAGCAAGGCUGGUGGGCCCAGGCACAGCCAGAACUAGGGAUCCAAAUCCUGGCAAGAGUGAUUGACACCCUCUCUCUCCCGCCUCUCUCUCUCUCUAGACUAAUUCUGCCAUGAGGAAGGGCGUUUGGCCAAUGACAACUCCUAAGCCUCUCUCAUUUUCACAGCCAUUUUUUCAGUUCUGACUUAGAGCAGAGCAGAACAGAACAGGGAAGGCUUCUGAUUGGCCCAGCGCUAAUCAGAUGUCUGCCUGUGGGCCAAUCACCUAUGGCCAAGGAACAGGAUCAGGAAGCCCUGACUGCUCUGGCUGAACCAGCAUUUGGAGGAGGAGGGAAUCCCAUAGGGGAAACCAUCCGAAAGAGCUAAACACCAUUUGAUAGAUAAGGAGAUAGAGGCUCAGGAAAGCAUGGCAUUAGUCAGAUCACUUAGCUGAUAAGUGGUGGAACUGGAUACAGCCCAUAUUACCUACCCCUGAAUUUGUAGAUUAAGCCAGAGAGAGGCCCUUUGCAGCUCAGAGUACCCCCCGGCCACCCUCAGCUUCUCCCUGAUAACUCAUUCCUAAGCCUUGAGAGAUAACCUUCCUAGAAUUCCACCCAUUUCGUGAACAUUCUGUGGCUCUGACACUAACAAUCGUGGCAGUCUUCUCAAAAUAAAGCGAGGCUGAGUCUGAGGAGGCUUUCCAGCAGGUUCACCAUAGUACCCCUUCUUCAUGGCAGUCUUCAGAAUAGGGCUGUCCUCACCCUCUCUGCUCUCAACAGUGCCCCCAGUACUAUAGGGCACAGAAGAGACGCCAAAACCAUCUGUUGGGAUGGGUGAAUGAAUGGAUGAGCCCAGAGACACCAUCAACCUUGGCAGCAGGGCCCCCUGAUGGCUGAAUCCUCACUGCACCUGCCCCAGCCCCGAGGAGGAGUGAAGAGCAGUGACCUGGGUGAAUCCCGGGACUGAGCAGCUACCCACACUGUGCGUUUCCUAGACAUUCCCUGGGAGAGUCCUUGCAACUGCUCUGCGAGGCCUGGAGACCGACCCGAGCAGACUAAUAGGAAGGGGCGGAAGUAGGAGUGGAUCUCAAGUGUGUUGGACUCCAGAGACCAAUUUAUUGCUGCAGCCUCCACUCCACCCUCUCACCCAGACGUCGUGCCCAGCCUGGCCAGUAGAAGGCUUUGAAGGUCCCCUCACCUGUGGCUCUGUCCUCUACUCAAUCUCCCCUCAGCUUUCCUCAGGACACAUAACCUCACCCGGAAAGCCUCUGAGUCAGAGCCAGACAGAACCAAGCUCAGAGCCAGCCUCACCAGACUCCAUGAAGUUGGCUUUCCACUUGGAACCUCAGUUUCCCAAUCUGUGAAAUGGGAACAGUGUGAUCUGCAUUGGCCAAGAUUGAACAAUUCCCUAAGAAGGAGGAGAUGAGGGAAGCAAGCUGGGCCCACUGAGAGUUAGUCUGAAGAAAUUGGUACCUAAUGAAUCAGAGCAGAGAUGUGCCACAUCAGCUUAAAGGGCCAGGCUGACUCUGGGUCCUGCAGAAGCUGACAGUCACUUGGUGAAGAUAUUGACCCAUCUAAAGUAGUAAAGCAUCCUCAGACAAAGGCGAGUCCCUGCAACCCUGAGAUGCUGAGUUUGUCCAAAGAGAGGCCAUCUGGUCAUCAGACCAGUGGCCAAGCCAAGCCUGUUUUAAGAUGACAAGAUCACCCGCCUGUAUAAAGAAAACAUGUAUGCCUUACCCCACCGUAAAGCCUCCUGGUGUGGAGCUGAAGCCUCCUGCCCCAGCCACGUGAAUGAACUUGGAGGCUGAUUCUCAACAGACCCUUCAGAUGACUGUCUCCCUGGCUGACAGCUUGACUGCAACCUCGCAGAGGUUGACGCCUGAGCCAGGAUCUUUCAGUUGCACGGCUCUCAGACUCCUCGAUCCUAAGAAAUUGUAAGAGAUAACGUUGGUUGUUUUGAGCUGCUCGAUUUGGGGGUAAUUUGUUACAGAACAAUUGAUAAUACACAAGGUAAAUGGGAAAACACAAAAGAAGAUAGAGAAAUAAAAUCUUAAAAACUGGUGA